rnacentral:lncRNA from 1 species
ACCCUCGGCAAAAAAUUUAGGUUUCAAUCAGUGGUGUAGCCAGAAAUAUUAUUUAGAAGGGUCAUAACUUAACUCUUCUUAAGCAACCUAUAUCCUUCACACUAAUCAGCAUUUGAUAAAUUAUUUAACCCAAUCAAUCUUGGUUAUUGGUGGGGGUUUUGGACAAAGAUAAACUUCGAAUUCAUCAAAUAACAUAAAUUACAUCCAUUNNNNNNNNNNNNNNNNNNNNCAAAGACUAUACAAUAUUUUACCCAACAACAAACUUCCCUGAAAGUUUCCCACCGACAGUGGCGUAGCCAGAAAUAUUAUUUAGAAGGGUCAUAACUUAACUCUUCUUAAGCAACCUAUAUCCUUCACACUAAUCAGCAUUUGAUAAAUUAUUUAACCCAAUCAAUCUUGGUUAUUGGUGGGGGUUUUGGACAAAGAUAAACUUCGAAUUCAUCAAAUAACAUAAAUUACAUCCAUUGUUAAAAAAAAUAUUAGAUAUAUUACUUUAUAUUACAUUCUUCUAAUUUUGACUUGAUUUGCUAGAGACCAUGAGUGAAAAAAGGGUGUAUAAAUCUAAAUAUAUAUUGUUUAACUGUGUUGAUUUAUGGGACAAAAUCAUUAUUAAUUGGCCACUUAAUAAAUAAAAUGCAGUAAAAAGUUAAAACAUGGUGGACACCCGUCCAAACACUGGACUUGUGGGGUGAAUGGGCCAUAAGAUCAAAACUUUUAAUCAUCUUCCGUUUCAAUUUUACAGAUUUUCUUAUGUGAGGAGGGUCAUUAAUUAUAAUUUAUAUAUGUGAUUACCAAAUAGUUCAACCAAUGGGUGCUUAAUUCAAAUAGCUAGAAGGGUCAAUUGACCCUUCUCGCCCUACCCUCCCUACGCCAUUGGUUUCAAUAUGUUAGUGAGUGUAGUAAGUAGUUUCUAAUAAAUGUAAAUAGAGACUACAACAAGGUUUCUUUUAAAUUGCUAUUUUGAAAGAAGAAAAUGUGUGCAAGUUUCAAAUUUUGAUGAUCAAUUUCUUUCGAUUAAUCUUCUUUUUAUUUUUUUAUUUUUAUUUUUUAUCAUAUAGAUAAUUGAAAUGCUACAACGAGUCUAUCGUAAGUCGAACUUAGGACCUCUCACUAAUAAAAGGGAGACUGAUGCCACUAAACCAAAUUGUACUGGGCCUUCGAAUAAUCUUUUGAUGACUUCUCUCUCUUUUUUUUUUUAAUAGAAAUAGAUAAUUUUAUUACUUAUCCAUUGCCAGAAGAUACAUACAUCAAUCAACGUCUUGCGCCAAAAUUAAUCUAACACAAGCUAACAGACUAAUUGACAGGUACCCUUACUACAAACUUAUAAACUCAAUUAUUGAGCCUUAGCAACUGAACUUCAAAGUCACUAUCUAACUCCCAAUUAAAGUAAUCCUAGUCGCCUAAAGACUGCAAUUGGUGUACAACUAGAAAUACCAAGAAUUAAAUAGACAACAUUAAAACUCAAUUACUAGGCCAAAACAGCUUCAAUCAAACCAAACUGAAGGAGUAAGAAAAGGGAUGGGCUAACACAUUUAGGCCACCAAGAAGCAACCCAAAACAGUUAGAGGCCCAAUAGGCCUAAACUCAUCACCCUCCCUCCCCUUCCAGAUCGCACCGAAUGAAGCCGUCGGUAACAACAUUCAAGAGAGUAAUCUCUUCGACGGCUGACCUCGCCCCUCCACCAUCAUGAUCUCACUUAGUCGCCAACCGCUGCCUCCCUUUCAGUAGCUUCCUCACCAAACCAAGAGUGAGGAAAUCAGAUACAAACCGAUUACCAACUAGGUAUUUUGAUCCAAGCUAAGGACCCAGACCAAAACCUCUGUACAGAGACAAUCUGAGUCUAUCUGUCUCCGAAACAAGCUUCGAACCUCACUCUCCGACCACGUGAACUAGAAGUCAUGCUGAUCAAGAACCAAUCCUACGAUGUUGAAGCCGUUGUAGAUCCCAAACCACGUGCAAAAUAGAAGCCUGGCCUCGCGCCACCUCGAAGAUCAGCCCCCACUACCUGUGACGUUCGGGACUGCCCACCUUCUACCUAAUCAGAGCGAAACCGUCGCCGUUGUCCUUGCUCGAUCAAUUUCUCAACUAGGGGAAACCCUAGCUAAUGCAGAGAGAAAGCUGACUAGGAGAUGGUAUCUUCUGAUGACUUCUCUUUUUCUCUAUAUCGACAACUUUAUGUUUCAGCUAGAAUAUCAAUCUAAUCCAUCUUAUUGCAACGGUUAUAAAAUUUAGUUUUUAUGUCAUAAUUCAAGAUUUUUAAAAGGCUUCCAAAAAUUUACCAUUUGAAAAGCUUCGGGUUUGAUUAUACUAGAUGUUCAAUAGAAAGAAACAUAAUGUUUCUCAUAAUAUUUAAAAACAACCCAUAUGUACUAUAUAUCUAUUUGUUGUAUGACAAAUUUACUAUAUAUCUAUUUGCUCAAAUAGAUAAACUUAUAGUUGAAAGCCACAUGAAAAGAAAAGAAUACAAAAUAUAACUAGUAUUGUUGCCGACAAGAUUCAAACGGAAGACCAAAAAGUAGCAAGAAAGGCAACCAACCCGUUAUACCGAACUGAAAGUUGUUACCAAACUACUUUGUAUAUACCGAUUACAGGACCCACUAGGCCCCUAAGUGCCUCCAAACCUGGUGCUAACAUAAGAUCUACAUGAAAGGUUUGUUGCAUUGGUCAUUAGGAUUUAGGCUUUAGUUUUUAUGUUUCGAAAAAUAGAGGAUUUGCGACUUCUAUUUAAGAGAGAUAUGUCGC